UACGAAGGGGGGCUAGCGUUGCUCGGAAUCACUGGGCGUAAAGCGCACGUAGGCGGCUUUCUAAGUCAGGGGUGAAAUCCUGGAGCUCAACUCCAGAACUGCCUUUGAUACUGGAGAGCUUGAGUCCGGGAGAGGUGAGUGGAACUCCGAGUGUAGAGGUGAAAUGCGUAGAUAUUGGGAGGAACACCAGUGGCGAAGGCGGCUCACUGGACCGGAACUGACGCUGAGGCGCGAAAGCGUGGGGAGCAACGGG
rnacentral:rRNA from 1 species